rnacentral:lncRNA from 1 species
GAAAAACAGGAAUGACCUCCUUUCAGGCACUCUGUUGGUUUUAUGGCGCCUCUUCUUGCGAAUGUUUGUGUAAAAUUGACAUACUGUGGUCCUUUUCUGCACAAUUACGGCAAGGAAAAUUCAGAUCGCAAAGGUCCACCUUUCAUCUGCAUCUCAUUACCGGGUAGCAGGAAUAAGUAGGCUGACCCUCAGUUUGGACCGGGAACAGCUGUGUAAGUGUGUAUGUGUGUGUUUAUAUGUAUGUACACGUAUUUUGUUGUGUUUUGGGCCACAAGGUACCACACUGGCUUAACAAGUACUCAUAAAUUAAUUAGCCCAAAUGCUUUUCAUCUUUAUAUGACUUAAGUAAAAUCUGUCAUAUGCUUGCUUAAAAAUUAUUGGUAAACUAAUAACAGAAAUUUCUUAAAAAUUG